CUCUCGCCCCGUCGCGUUUAUCGAGGACACAGGUGAAAACUGAGGUUUAGAGAGGGUAAAUAACUUGCCCAAAAUCUGGAAAAGUUUGCCAACCCCUGGUCUUACUCCUCAUUAAGGUUUCCCUUCCUCUCCACCAUUCCCAAAUCUGAGUAUUCCAGAAGAGCUACUGUUUUUUUAAUUAUAUGGUAAAUUCAUUUCUAAAGGGAUUAAAAUGAAUACCUACCUGUUGUUAUGAAAAUAAAUGUAUAACAUAAAGCAAUCUGCAAAAUAGUAAGUAUACACUCAAAAUCUGUUAGUCAUUAUUACCGUUGUUAUUAUUUUUAUUUUCAGUGCAACCAACACUGAUACUGCUGAACUCCUGUUGUUUAUGGCACAUGUUUAAGUUAAUUAAUUAUGUAAGAUACAUAUAUAUAUGUACACAUGGUAAGGUGGAGCGGUUGUGAUAAUACCACAAGCUGCCUGAAGGGGCAGCCCACCCUAGAUCCUUUCCUAACUGAACAAGAUUCCAAAACACCAGUACCUCUGGUAAGUGGAA
rnacentral:antisense_RNA from 1 species